rnacentral:lncRNA from 1 species
GGUAGAAGUAGUGAUUUUUACUGUUCUACUGGGGCCUGCCUCGCCUUGUGUAGUGUUGUUCGAUGAAGAACUGGUUUAGUCGCUACAAGAAAAUUAAUAUUUUAAAAAAUAUAUAUAUUUUUAUAUUUAACGAUGUUUAAAAGUGUUUAUAUAUAGUCUAACGUCACAUUUGAAAGCGUCAGUUAAGAUGUCAGCAAGUGAAGAGUUCUCACGUAUAUACCGACGCUUAUGCCAAGCGUCGGUAAAAUAUAUUUCAGGAUUUUUUAAAAUUCUAACACUUUAAAGCGUCGAAAAAUAAAAAAUAAUAGUAAAAUUUAUUAUUUAAUAAAUUGGUUUGAUAUAAUAAAGUGUUCAUACGAUGACGCUUUUUGAAGGGUCGUUAUUUGCUGUUU